UUAUCAAGCAUGAUACGGAAUAUGAAUGAUGUGAUUUGGAAAUUGAAAAAUAUGUCAUUAAACAUAGAAGAAACUUUGAAUAGAGUGAACAUUAAAGAAAGUCAUCGCUGUAGGUUACGUGUUAUUAGCCCUCUACGAAGGAUUGGCGGAAAAGUCAACAAAAAGAUUCGAUUCAUUCAUCAGACGUAUGCUAAUUUAACCUUUGUACAUGAUGUUUUCAAAAUUGUGUCAAAAACUCUGGAAAAAGAUACACGUAUUAAUUUAUCUUCACUUUUACAACCUGCUAUGUGUAUACUACA